rnacentral:rRNA from 1 species
CCUACGGGAGGCAGCAGUGGGGAAUUUUGGACAAUGGGGGCAACCCUGAUCCAGCAAUGCCGCGUGUGUGAAGAAGGCCUUCGGGUUGUAAAGCACUUUUGUCCGGAAAGAAAUUGCUCUGGCUAAUACCUGGGGUAGAUGACGGUACCGGAAGAAUAAGCACCGGCUAACUACGUGCCAGCAGCCGCGGUAAUACGUAGGGUGCGAGCGUUAAUCGGAAUUACUGGGCGUAAAGCGUGCGCAGGCGGUUUUGUAAGACAGGCGUGAAAUCCCCGGGCUCAACCUGGGAAUUGCGCUUGUGACUGCAAGGCUAGAGUGCGUCAGAGGGGGGUAGAAUUCCACGUGUAGCAGUGAAAUGCGUAGAGAUGUGGAGGAAUACCGAUGGCGAAGGCAGCCCCCUGGGACGUGACUGACGCUCAUGCACGAAAGCGUGGGGAGCAAACAGGAUUAGAUACCCUGGUAGUCCACGCCCUAAACGAUGUCAACUAGUUGUUGGGGAUUCAUUUUCUCAGUAACGUAGCUAACGCGUGAAGUUGACCGCCUGGGGAGUACGGUCGCAAGAUUAAAACUCAAAGGAAUUGACGG